rnacentral:misc_RNA from 1 species
UCGCGGUUAAUGUAUUUCUCAUUUGAGAUUUAAACGCGUCGUGAAACAUACGUGAACUGAUAUUAAAAAUACUCAUUUUAUUUUUGUGACAAAAUAACGAGUGAUAAAAAUAUUGGCAACUAACUUUAUCGUUUAACUGUUAUACCACGAUCUCGUGGAAAAGUGAUUAUAAAAUACUUGUGAUAUGGAAGACAGUAUAGAAAAUUUGUUUUAAUGGAGUGUGUGAAUAUUAGAACUUAUCUUAGAAAAUAAGCCGUCCAAAGUCAGCAAAUAAUAGAUUCGGAAAGAUAAAAGUAGCAACACAAAACCGCCAAGAUGCACGGGAUGAUGAAAAUUUUUUCCAAUUUCAAAGAUUUCUACAAUGACAUAAAUGGUGCAACGUUAACUGGUGCUAUAGACGUAAUAGUUGUUGAACAGCCUGAUGGGUCCUAUAACUGUUCGCCGUUCCACGUGCGGUUCGGAAAAUUGGGGGUACUUAGAAGUAGAGAGAAAGUGGUUGACAUAGAAAUCAAUGGGGAACCACAAGAAAUUCAUAUGAAGUUAGGGGAGAGCGGGGAGGCAUUUUUCGUAGAAGAAUUAGAGGAAGACGAUGAUGAAGAAAUUCCAGAACACUUAGCAACAUCUCCUAUACCAGUUUCUGACUUCGAAACAUUAUUUAAAAAACAAGGAAGGCGUCUCAGUCUGGAAGACAUCUCCAAUCUGGGAUUGGAAAACGAAGAAAAUGACUACAAAACGCGUCGCAAUACGGCAGACAACGAAAGUAACAAGAUGCGAGAACGCAACUUCAUCAGACGACAACUGGUCUUGGGUAACCUAGAAAUAAAUAAUGAAAAUUCAGCAGAAGAAAUGACACUAUCUAUAAUAUCCGGAAAGCUCAGUAGCGAAGAUUUAAGCAAGAGCCACAACGACAUUUCUGAAACUAUUUUUAAAAUGGACAGCUUGGAUAUAGAUAUCAGUAAAACCGAAGAACUAAAAUCUGAAAAUCUGGUAUCUCCUGUAUCAAACCUUCCUAAAAUCGACGAUCCUACAAACGAAAGUAAAAGUAGUAAGAAAAGGCGAAAGAGAGUACGGCGAAAGAAUGCUCCAAAGAAAUCUAGCAGCAUAAACCAAAUGACUAGCAGCCAGAUAUCAGAAAACCUGGAAACUAACGACACCAUUACUGAUAGGAGUUCCUUGGAUAGCAAUGGGUCCGAUCCUGAAUUACAAGGAAAAUCAUCCAAGAAAAAUGAUGACAACGUUCUUCGCGUCGAUACUUCCCAUAUUAAGAAAAUAGACGCAGAUUUCCAUUUCUUUAGUGACACGGAACUGACAAAACCCAGUAUUGGAGAUUGCAGAACUGGUUCUGUCGAAAAUGUUGAAAACGUCCAGUCUGAUUCAGAAAUUGAAGUUAAAGCAAGGAAAGAUGAGCCUCUUGACAACGCGAAGAGCUGGGAAUGGGGAGGCUUCCCUAGCGUCUCCCAGACUAACUCUCCAGUGAGCGACAACCCCAGACAAGAAGAACGUAGGUCGAUGCUAAGCGGUAUGUUCUCUUUUAUGCAACAGAAGCAUGGUGCUCAAAAUCCUUUAGAGGGGGGAAUGUACUUGUCAGAUAUUACUUCCGGUACUGUCGAUCAAGAAGUAGCUCAGAUCUAUUUCAGUACGACCAAGGACAGAAAAGACGUGGAGGUGGAUUGUGAAUCAGGAAAUGGUCCUUCAUUGACGCAGAGUCCCAAUAGUGCCGAUGGAUGCAAGAGUAUCGACUCCGACUUCGAGGAACAGAAUAAAUUAGCACAGUCGUUCUCCCAGGAGAUAUCGCUUUCGCUUUGCGGGUGGGAUCCAGAACCGAACUACAACAGAUUUUUGGAGAAGGUAGUGAAAUUCAGCGAUUUGUGCAACAAUCCCAUUCUAUUCGAGAAUCCCAACUUGGUAGUAAGGAUAAAGGACAAAUACUACACGUGGAAGGUAGCAGCUCCAAUUAUUACCAGUAUUAUGGUUUACGGAAGACCUUUGGUACAAUCAUCUGUGGAUCAGUUGUGUAGUAUUCAUAUGCCGAUUAGUACUCCACAGGAGCUGAAAGAAGGACCAAAGCAGGAAGUUGGAAGAAGAAGUUGGUGGAGCUGGAGACGAGGGGGUGCUUCGAGAGAAACCACUCCUGCCCCUGAAAACGAGAAUGACGCACUCAAGACUGCCGAUACCAAAGACGUUGUUAUAGAAGUAGACGACGACUCCAAAUUAGAAGACAAAAAUGAAGACGUUAACGAGCAAAUUGAUGUACCCAGAUCUCCGAGCUCUAGCUCUGAUAAGUAUAGGAAAACUUUGAGACUGACUUCAAAACAAAUUGUUCUAUUGAAUUUGCGGGAUGGUAUGAAUGAAGUGGAAUUCAGCGUAACUACUGCAUAUCAAGGUACCAGCAGAUGUCAGUGUCAUCUCUACAAAUGGAAGUGGGAUGAUAAGAUCGUAGUAUCCGAUAUUGAUGGCACCAUUACAAAGUCUGAUGUAUUAGGCCACAUUUUACCCAUUGUUGGCAAGGAUUGGGCACAGACAGGAGUGGCUCAGCUAUUUAAUAAAAUUGAAGAUAACGGUUAUAAACUACUGUAUCUCAGUGCGAGAGCCAUUGGUCAAGCAAGGAUCACACGAGACUACUUGAAAUCUAUCAAACAAGGAGAUCUGAGCAUGCCUGACGGUCCAAUACUUUUAAAUCCAACAUCUUUGAUAACUGCUUUCCACAGGGAGGUGAUUGAAAGAAAACCCGAGCAGUUUAAAAUUUCGUGUAUGUCUGAUAUAAAAGCUCUAUUUCCAACGGAUUCUAAUCCUUUCUAUGCUGGUUAUGGAAACAGAAUUAAUGACGUUUGGGCGUACAGAGCUGUAGGCAUACCAAUAGUUAGAAUAUUCACAAUUAAUCCAAAAGGUGAACUCAAGCACGAGCUGACGCAGACCUUCCAGUCCAGUUACUCUGGCCAAUCACUGGUGGUCCAUGAUGUAUUUCCCCCUCUUUUAAGCAAAAUUCAAUACGAUUCCGGCGAUGAUUCUGAUUACGUUGACGACUCAGAUUCUGAGUCAUCAUCGUUACACAUGACAUUGUGAUGAAUUCAUCGCCUUUAGAUCUUUAUAAAUUUUAUAGUUUUUCUGGCAGCUCUUAAAUAAAAAUUAUUAUCGAAGUAUGAUAAAGAAACAUGUGAAACAUUAUGUAAAAGUCUCUUGAAUUGUUUACUCGAGGUAAUAAUUUUUAUUUAAUAAGAAACAAGGCUGUCAAUUAAGUAUUUUUGUACAUAUUUGUUAUUUAUUAUUAUUAUUUAUGAAACAUGUGUGUUUUGUCUAUAGCGCAAUGCAUGAGAAUUGGUUUUUGUAAAGCUUUCAUCACCCAUUUAUUACAAGUAAGAUCUACAUAUAUAUUUAUUCUAUUUUUUUCAAUGAAAAAGAUCCCCCUUGUAUAUCUUACUUUGACUCAUAGUGCUUUUAUUAUCAAACAAAAAAGAUAAAACACACGUGUCUAAUUGUUAACAAAAAAUAGUACAAAAUAGUUUAAAUUUCCCGAAAGCUAAGUAUGGGGUUUAAUCGUUUCGGUUCUUCCGCUCAACCCACCUUCAAUCCACGUGGCUUCUUGCAUCGAUGUUUAGUAGUUCAAAAUGCUACCCCAUCAUGACCGUCAUAGUGGACCAGCUGUUCCCAUCUCGUUCCGAAGCCGCCAGUGAUUUCUCCCAAAACGUUUAUUGGCGAGACCCAAUCCCCACUAUCGAGGAAGUACCCGAAAUCUAAAUGUUCAAAACAAAAUUACGGCAUUAUCUGCAUUUAUAUAUGUAAACCUCUGUGAUUAGCUUCAAACAGUGUGUGCUUUUUAUCGAUGAUUCCAUUGACAUUUAGUUUUUGUACGGACGCCGACAUUAGUAGUGCAGGCAUUGUUGUUUUAGUAUUUACCUAAUUUGUUAUAAUAAAAGAAAGACAUGUUCACAUCUGUGUUCAUAAUGGAUUAGACGGUAGACAUUUGGCCAAAUUACACAUAUUUGAACAUAAUUUGUACAUGUGAUAUUAAUUGGUAAAGGUCAAUCAAAGGCCAAUAAUAAGACAUUAAUCUCCAUAUGUCAGUGGAAUAUUAGACCAUAAGAUGAAUCAUAUGAAGAACGCAGGAGCCGCGUUGCAGGCACAUAAACAAAGUUUGUCAAAACGCGGGAGCCGCGUUGCCGGCACAUAAUAGUCUAAGAGCUAGAACCGAAAAAUCAUCGUCAUAAGUAAUAUGGAGUUUGGCAUGUGAAAUGUGUCUAUUGUAUAUUGAUAAUUAUGACCCCUUUCAGGCUGACACCUCAGUGGAUACAGGAAGUAGUAAUAAGGGAUGAAAGGGAAAAAUUAGUGUAGUCAUUAAAGGUUUUCACCUCCUAUUUUGUUAAACCUCCAUCGAUUUGCAUGAAAAUUGGUAACUAGUUAGAGCAUACCUCAAGAAAUAAAACUGAUUUGGUGCUAACUUGCACUUUUACCCUGGGGGUGGAUACCACCCCUUCUCGGGGGUGAAAACUAUUUUAUUAAAAAUAACCCCACAAAUCGAUAGAGGGACAAAAAGUAAAAUUUGUUAUAUCAUGUUAUUAAAAUAAAUCAAUACUUUUUGAGUUAUUAAAGAUAAAAGAUUUGUCUGUUUAAGAGCACAUGCGUGAAGUUACGGAUGAUAAAAAGAAUAUAUUAAUUAAUUGUAGGUUACUAAAAUAUUAUUUUUAUAUUAUUUCGAUAUUAUAAAUUUAGCAAAAGUGUAUUCGAAUAUGUCAAAAGUACCCAUUAUUGGAUACCCCCAGUUUCUGAAUAUAUUCAGUUUGUAUUGAUAGAAAAAAUUCAAUUAAACAUCGAAAUAAUAUAAAAAUAAUAUUUUACUAACAUACAAUUAAUAAAUAUGUUCUUUUUAUCAUCCGUAACUUCACGCAUGUGCUCUUAAAUAGACAAAUCUUUGAUCUUUAAUAACUCAAAAAGUAUUGAUUUAUUUUAAUAACAUGAUAUAACACAUUUUACUUCAAAUUUGUCCCUCUAUCGAUUUGUGGGGUUAUUUUUAAUAAAAUAGUUUUCACCCCCGAGAAGGGGUGAUAUCCACCCCCAGGGUAAAAGUGCAAGUUGGCACCAAAUCAGUUUUAUUUCUUGAGGUAUGCUCUAACUAGUCACCAAUUUUCAUGCAAAUCGAUGAAGGUUUAACAAAAUAGGAGGUGAAAACCUUUAAUGACUACACUAACUUUCCCCUUUCAUUCCCUAUUGCUACUUCCUGUAUCCACUGAGGUGUCAGCCUGAAAGGGUCAUAAUUAUCAAUAUACAAUAGACACAUUUCACAUGCCAAACUACAUAUUACUUAUGACGAUGAUUUUUCGGCUCUAGCUCUCCGUCUAUAAACAAAGUUUGUCAAAACGCGUGAGCUGCGUCGCUGACAGUCAAUAGGCUAAGAGACAAAUGUUAGGGACACAUGAUCGGAAGUCAUAUUUUACUUUAUUCAGUAAUUACUUAUAUGCAAAUAUUUCCUAAUUCCCAAAUUUCCAUCGUCGUAACGUUGUGAACACAUCUAGCUUCAGUGUUAGACAUAAUGUUAUCAGAUCUAAGUGUUAGCUACAGUAGUUUUUUACCGCAAUAUGAUACGUACUACAGAUAGCCAAAUAUGUUUUGUGUUAGUACUAUAACGUAGUUAGUUUUAUGAAGAAACUUCAAAAGCAAUUCACAAUUGUGUCUAAAAAAACGGGUAAUUCUUGUUGUUCUUAGGUUUCACCUCAAAAACCCUAUGUUAGAAGGUCAGAAGAGUAUGAAAAGGUCGUAUGUAUUUCUUGCCAAAAGUACAAACAAUAAAACAAAAUUGAAUGUGUGAAGUCUUGCUGGAAUGAAUUCUAAGACUGUUUAUAUCAGAAGAUUUUAUUUAUGGUUCUAGAAUAAAUAGCUACUUGUUGUUGGUUUACUUCAUUAAAACUUCAUGUUGAUUAUUACAUCUUUCUUAUGUACCUUGGAUGUAGGUAUACUCGAAGAUGAUCGGGUUUUAACAGAAUAACAGCGAUAAUCCUCUGCAAGUACCUGCCUAAUACUGCCUUUACGGCUACUGCCCUGAAGAGCGGCAACGUUGUCAAGUAAAUUCUCAUUUAGUUUGCAUGGCCUUAUCCUUAGUACACUGCAUCACAUAUUUGAAAUACGCUGGUGGUUAAGGAGGCAGAUUUGUAUGCAGCGUACCCUUUUUGUUUUCUUUAAUGUCUUACGAGGAAGAGGGCUUCUAAAUGAUAUAUAUAAUAUUACAUGCAGCGGGUCUGUGUUUUUUGAUGUUGAUAUCUUCUAGUACGACCUUUUUGUAUUUUAAAAACCUUUCGAGACAUAGAGAUCCCAGUAAAUAAUCGUAAGUUCUUGCUUAGAGUAUAGCACUGAUGAUGAAACAAAAUCACAUGACAAAUAAAGUAUAUUGAGUAUGUUAUCAACUACUGAAAUCUGAUUUGUUCAAAUUUGAUUUGACAUUUUACUUAGAAUAAGCUCUUUAUUCAUUCUUUUUAUAGAUCCUUUUGUAAAAUUGCUGUUGCUUUUUGAUAUAAAAAAAAACAGUUGCACUUUUAAAAUGAAUACAAUUUAAUACUUGAGAACCCGAUACCUCAAAGUAGUGAAUUUUGUUUGCUUUUACAUACUUGGCAAUUGGAUAACAAAUUAUAGUUGCAGAACAUUUUUUUAAUUUUAAGGAAGUUCCAUUAUUGUUUUGUUUUUAAUUUCGGGAAGCUGUUGACGGAACAAAGUAUCACUUUUACUAAAACACACGUAAUUUUUGUUCAUAAAUAUUAAUUAGUCCUAAUCUCAACUAUUCUAUCUGCCUAAAAACAUUGCUUUUAAUAAAACAAUAAUUAUAAGUUAAAAAAUUCAAAUGUAUAAACAUUUUCAAUUUCUUUGCAACACGAAAAUGCAGCAGCUGCAUAAUACUCUGCUUAAAUCGAAGAGUGCAGGAAAAGUCUAUACCGGUUUCGGAGGUUUUGUCCUCCUCGUCAGUAGUCCCAUAUUCUCUUCUCUCCGAUUUCCCCAGGUAUCACUCUUUGGGCCUUUCCGAAUUGCAAAGAACGAAAUGCCGCAGAUGAACUUUCUCCGCGGCAUUUCGUGAAGUUCAUCCGCGGCAUUUCGUUCUUUGCAAUUCGGAAAGGCCCACAGUGUGAUACCUGGGGAAAUCGGAGAGAAGAGGAUAUGGGACUACUGAUGAGGAGGAAAAAACCUCCGAAACCGGCAUAGACUCUUCCUGCACUCUCCGAUUAAACCAGAGUAUUAUGCAGCUGCUGCAUUUUCGUGUUACAAAGAAAUUUAAAUAGUUUAUACAUUCUAAUUCAUUUACUCUUUUGUUGAGCACUAAGGAAUCUUUCUUGUUGGAACUUUUACCACGCUGAGCAGAUGGGUUGUGAAUUAUUUAAAAUUCUCUCAUCUUAAUUUCCUCGGCAUCCUGUAUGAUUUAUAAUUUUUGAAAAUCUCGGGAGGUUGUAACCAAAGAAAGUAUUCUACCUGUUGUCAAUCUGGUGGUAUGGAGACGAUAUUUAUUGUCGUUUUCUGUGCUACUUCGAUUGGUAACUUAUUUUGUUUUUAAAAAAUUCAACGUUUGAUAGUGUCAUAAGUCUUUCAAUUUAAGUAAAACUAACCUUGGAAAAAGUUAAGUUAUUGCACACUUUUGACUAUUCAAUUAUAAAGUUCCACCGUUGUUCCAGCAUUUUUAACUUUAUGUAUCAUGAUUUUACUAACUGUUAUGCAAUCCAUUCAGCAGUUAUGCAUGUGUAUCACAGUGAAGGUAAUUUAAGGCGCUCGAAAUUAAAAAACUGAUGUUUAUAAGGUGAGUCAAAUACUUUAGGGAGAACUAUAGAUACUUGGGACUUUCAAUCAGGUACAUAUUAUACUAAAAGCUAUGAUGUUACUGCAACAUAAAAAUAUAAAGUUCAUCAAGAACAAACAGUGUUUGUACACUAUUUCGCUUUAAUUUUUGGAAAUAUAUAAAUAUUUAAAGCAAAGCAAUUUUGGAUACGUCAAAAUAUAGUUAGAUAAUACUUAGAGGUAGCUUGCCAUGAAUAUCAUAAUUCCAUAGUUAGGGAUUUUAAACCACUUUUAAGAUAUGUAGUUAUUGUGUUUAUGGAUGUGUGAACUCAUCUGUCGAUUAUUGGUAGUAUUUUUAAUGGGUGUGUUAUGGGGACAGUAUUCUACAACCAACGGCCAGGAUAUUUUUUAUUUAUAUAUUUUGUCAAAUAUUUUCCAAUAUUGGUAGAGAAUUAUUCCUAAGGACUUGGUAAACUAUCGGAAUUGUAAAGACUGUAUUUGUUUCAAUAUUUAGAUAGAGGAAUUUAGUGAGAGAAAUAUGAAUUUAUUGGUAGGAGUAUUAGUUUAGUAGAUGGAUGUGUGAAGUUAAAUUGAACACAAAGAAAGAAAAAUGUAUACAGUGAAAAUAAAGAAAUAAAUGGUGUAGGAAGAUUAAUUGUGACAAGGGACUAAAAAAAGUAUAUUUAAAGCACUGGUAAAAUAUUUGCGUGCUCGAGGUAAAUUGUGCUAAUGUGGAAAUGUUUGUCGCAUCAAUCGGACUCAGGAAUUUUCGACGCACAGAACGCACACGCUCCAUCGGUUGUCGGUUUUUGAGCGAAUAUCAAAGGAUUGCGUCGCAUAUGGUUUGCAGUGUGGACGCUUCUUUUGGCACAGUGUGUGUUUUUAAGUUACUCCGCACAGCGAACAAUAAACAAAUUUUCGAUGGUCGAGCAGUUAAAUUUGCGUCGCAAAUCGUAACUGCUCGAUCAUCGAAAAUUUGUUUAUCGUUCUUACACACUACAAACCGUAUGCGACGAAAAUCCUUUGAUCUUCGCUCAAAAACCGACAACCGAUGGAGCGUGUGUGUUGUGUGCGUCGAAAAUUCUUGCGUCCGAAGUAUGUGACGAACACGUCCACCUUAGCACAAUUUACCUCGAGCACCCAAAUAUUUGCCACGAACAGCUGGUUCGUCACAAAUUUUUACCAGUGAAGACGCGGCUUUAGACACUAAAUCUAGAUUGAUAAAACUAGAAAUCAAAAGUUUUAUAAAUGAGAUUUAAAUUAAAGUAAGGGACAUUAAACUCAUAUUAAAAUUUUCAGUUUUUACCGUUAACUCGGCAAGCUGGUAGAUUUACUGUGAGUAACUUAAUGGAUUUAUGGUUUGAGCCAUAUUCUACUCAGAAAUUUUUCAAACGUAAUACCAUAAAGUCAUCAUUUUAUAAUAACUACCAAAAUAAAAUGUCCCAAGAAAAUAAUUUUAGAUACUCGUAUCGUUAUGUUAAUAUUCUAAAGAUCUUUAGGUGCUUUAAUGUUAGACAAUCACGUUAUUUUUUUGUAAAUAUACCUACUUAAAAUAAUCUAACAUAAAAAUUUAAACGUAUUUUAAACCCAAAAUAUUUUUAAAACCAGGUUGAAGCUAAAGAAAAUACUAAAGUAAGCGAUAGAUGAGUACAUUAUCGGUUUUGUUUAAUUUUUUAGGAUUGAUUAUAUAUUCUGACUUUUUAAAGGCUGUUGGUAUUGUGAUAAAUAUUCUACCAAUAUAUUAGUUUAAUAUUUGUUAGUUCCGUCAAUUAAAAUUAUUUUUUUACGAUUAUGUUAGUCUAAUAAGUAUUGUUUAGUUUAAAUUAUGAAUUUUGUGAUAUAAUCUUUGUUUAAUCAAAUUAAAAAGUUUCCUUAAAAAACUUUAAAUUUGUUAAAUUCAGUUUACUGCAAUAAAUUAUUUUUCGGAAAUA